rnacentral:ncRNA from 1 species
CAAGAAUUUUCCUGUAAGAUGACUUGGGAAAUCAUCAAAUAUAUGGGAUAAACUAUCAAAUUACGGAAAUCCCCUAAAGCUUAUGGUACCAAACUAUAGUUGAAAAACUAUAUGUGGCUGAAUUAAUUACUCAGGUAAGGUAAUAAGUCAGAAGAUGAGUGAAAACAAAAUGGGCAAUCGCGUAUCUAAAUCAGUAGUAUUGGAAAAUGUUACUGUAAAAGAGCAACGAGUAAAUGGUAGUUGAUGUGGAGGCGCAAGCUCUAAUUUAGGGCUACGCACGCAUUUAAGAUGUACUCUAAUGGGUUUCGAAAGAAACUA